rnacentral:rRNA from 1 species
GUGGGGAAUAUUGGACAAUGGGCGAAAGCCUGAUCCAGCCAUGCCGCGUGAGUGAUGAAGGCCUUAGGGUUGUAAAGCUCUUUUGUCCGGGAAGAUAAUGACUGUACCGGAAGAAUAAGCCCCGGCUAACUUCGUGCCAGCAGCCGCGGUAAUACGAAGGGGGCUAGCGUUGCUCGGAAUCACUGGGCGUAAAAGGCGCGUAGGCGGACUUUUAAGUCGGAGGUGAAAGCCCAGGGCUCAACCCUGGAAUUGCCUUCGAUACUGGGAGUCUUGAGUUCGGAAGAGGUUGGUGGAACUGCGAGUGUAGAGGUGAAAUUCGUAGAUAUUCGCAAGAACACCGGUGGCGAAGGCGGCCAACUGGUCCGAAACUGACGCUGAGGCGCGAAAGCGUGGGGAGCAAACAGGAUUAGAUACCCCAUAGUCC